UUCGUAGGGGGCAAGCGUUGUCCGGAUUUAUUGGGCGUAAAGAGCUCGUAGGUGGUUCGGUAAGUCGGAUGUGAAAUCUCCAGGCUCAACCUGGAGGGGUCAUUCGAUACUGCCGUGACUAGAGUUCGGUAGGGGAGUGUGGAAUUCCUGGUGGAGCGGUGAAAUGCGCAGAUAUCAGGAGGAACACCCGUAGCGAAGGCGGCACUCUGGGCCGAUACUGACACUGAGGAGCGAAAGCGUGGGGAGCGAACAGG
rnacentral:rRNA from 1 species